GUGGGUAUAGCUCAGUGGUAGAGCACAUGCUUAGCAUGCACAAGGUUGUGGGUUCAAUCCCCAGUACCUCCA
rnacentral:tRNA from 1 species